UAUCGCAGCAACACCGACACUUUAUUGCCUGGGGACAGGAGACCCUGGGAGAUGGGGGUUAAACAACCCUCAGAAGGGGCCAGGGAGAGGCAGCUCCGGGUGCUGGUGAAGGUGACAGCGGGUGCCAGGCCACCGACGGGCAAUGGGUACACGGUGGGGACCAAAGGGGAUGAAGGGAGCGGAGCCAUGCUGGUCCCAGCGCCGGGGCCGUCACACGCUGGUGGCCUGGGCAUCGUCGCCGUUCUCGUCCCAGCUCAGCAGCGCCCGGCGCGCCGUCCUGCCGGGAUGGCCCCGGAGCUGGGCGAUGGCACCGCGCAGCUCCUCAUGCUCCCGCUCCAGUGCCAACAGCCGGUUCUCCUGCAAGGCCACCAUGUCAGCCCCUUGCCGCGGGACACUGGGGCCCUCACCCGGCUCUGCCCGCACCCGGGGUGAGCCAGCUGCCCGUCUCCUGGCUCUUACCAGCGCUCUGCCCUUCUCCUCGCUGGCCUUCAGCCUCUCCAGGUCCUUCUUGCGGGUGCCCUCGGCGGACGUCAACCUAGAGCAGACCAGGAUCUAUCAAGACCUCAACCUGCAGCUUGCAGCCCUGGUGUCGUCGUCACCCGGUGCCCAGAGUUGGGUGCACGGUGCAGAUCCCAUCGUCACCAGGUGCCCAGAGUUGGGUGCAUGGUGCAGACCUCAUCAUCACCGGGUGCCCAGAGUUGGGUGCACGGUGCAGACCUCAUCAUCACCAGGUGCCCAGAGGUGGGUGCAUGAUGCAGACCUCAUCAUCACCGGGUGCCCAGAGUUGGGUGCAUGGUGCAACCCCUGUGGUGUUGGGACUUCCCGGGGCCACCACGUCCGCCACGGUCCCUACCUGGCGCCCAGGUUGGCCAAGCGAGCGUUGGCCUCCUCCAGCUGCUGCCGGAGGUGCUCGAGCUGCUCGCGGUGCUGAGCCUGCUCCUGCYGCAGGCCGCGGUGCUGAGCCUCCGCCGCGUCCACCCGGGCCUCGGCCGCCCGCUGCCUCUCCCGGCUCUCGGCCACCUCCUUCCGCAGCGCCUCGAUGAGCCGCCCGUGCUGGGGAGACGAGCGUGAACGGGGCGCCCAGCACCCACCGAGGGGA
rnacentral:lncRNA from 1 species